GAUGAACGCUGGCGGCGUGCCUAAUACAUGCAAGUCGAGCGAACAGACGAGGAGCUUGCUCCUCUGACGUUAGCGGCGGACGGGUGAGUAACACGUGGAUAACCUACCUAUAAGACUGGGAUAACUUCGGGAAACCGGAGCUAAUACCGGAUAAUAUAUUGAACCGCAUGGUUCAAUAGUGAAAGACGGUUUUGCUGUCACUUAUAGAUGGAUCCGCGCCGCAUUAGCUAGUUGGUAAGGUAACGGCUUACCAAGGCGACGAUGCGUAGCCGACCUGAGAGGGUGAUCGGCCACACUGGAACGGAGACACGGUCCAGACACCUACGGGAGGCAGCAGUAGGAAAUCUUCCGCAAUGGGCGAAAGCAUGACGGAGCAACGCCGCGUGAGUGAUGAAGGUCUUCGGAUCGUAAAACUCUGUUAUUAGGGAAGAACAAAUGUGUAAGUAACUAUGCACGUCUUGACGGUACCUAAUCAGAAAGCCACGGCUAACUACGUG
rnacentral:rRNA from 1 species